rnacentral:tRNA from 1 species
GCGCUCUUAGCUCAGAUGGAUAGAGCAACAGCCUUCUAAGCUGUGGGUCGCAGGUUCGAAUCCUGCAGAGCGCGCCA